UCGAAUGAUUAAAGAAAUGAAUUUUAACAAUCUGUCAAUCCCCUGAGAAAUUUCUUUGACGAAAAAAUUCACAAAUUAUGACG